AUUGAACGCUGGCGGCAUGCCUUACACAUGCAAGUCGAACGGCAGCACGGGAGCAAUCCUGGUGGCGAGUGGCGAACGGGUGAGUAAUGUAUCGGAACGUGCCCAGUCGUGGGGGAUAACGUAGCGAAAGCUACGCUAAUACCGCAUACGAUCCAUGGAGGAAAGCGGGGGAUCGCAAGACCUCGCGCGAUUGGAGCGGCCUAUAUCAGAGUAGGUAGUUGGUGGGGUAAAGGCCCACCAAGCCUGCGAUCUGUAGCUGGUCUGAGAGGACGACCAGCCACACUGGAACUGAGACACGGUCCAGACUCCUACGGGAGGCAGCAGUGGGGAAUUUUGGACAAUGGGCGCAAGCCUGAUCCAGCAAUGCCGCGUGCAGGAUGAAGGCCUUCGGGUUGUAAACUGCUUUUGUACGGAACGAAACGGCUUUUUCUAAUACAGAGAGCUAAUGACGGUACCGUAAGAAUAAGCACCGGCUAACUACGUGCCAGCCGCCGCGGUAA
rnacentral:rRNA from 1 species